CUAUGCGCCUUGCCAGCCCGCUCAGGUGUGCCAGCCGCCGCGGUAAUACGUAGGUGGCAAGCGUUAUCCGGACUUAUUGGGUGUAAAGGGCGUGUAGGCGGGAAUGCAAGUCAGAUGUGAAAACUAUGGGCUCAACCCAUAGCCUGCAUUUGAAACUGUAUUUCUUGAGUGCUGGAGAGGCAAUCGGAAUUCCGUGUGUAGCGGUGAAAUGCGUAGAUAUACGGAGGAACACCAGUGGCGAAGGCGGAUUGCUGGACAGUAACUGACGCUGAGCGCGAAAGCGUGGGAGCAAACAGG
rnacentral:rRNA from 1 species